UAUGUCCAGAGCUCCACAGUGUCCUCAGCAACUAGGGUGUAAAUGAUCCUCAGGACUUCCUCUGCAAGUCACAGCCUGGGGUUGGAGUGCCUUCUAUUGGCCAAGACAUCACUAUGGGAGUGCCUCAGCCAAUCAGCUGGAGAAACCAGAGGCAAUCUCUACCUGAAGAGGCCGGACAGAAGGAGGAUGCCAUUACGCCCCCUGCUGGUUGCUGCACACUGGUCCAUCUUAUUGCCUGUAGCAUCUCCCUGUAGGAUUCUUCUAUCAUCCAUACAAUCUGUGCCCAACCCCACAUGAAGAGAUUACACCGGACUCCCUUCUCUCAGCUAUUCCCAUACUUGUUAUCU